UACGGAGGAUCCAAGCGUUAUCCGGAUUCACUGGGUUUAAAGGGUGCGUAGGUGGAAUGACAAGUCAGUGGUGAAAACCUGCAGCUUAACUGUAGAACUGCCAUUGAUACUGUUAUUCUUGAGUACAUUUGAUGUGAGUGGAAUGUGUCGUGUAGCGGUGAAAUGCUUAGAUAUGACACAGAACACCAAUUGCGAAGGCAGCUCACAAAACAGUAACUGACGCUGAGGCACGAAAGUGCGGGGAUCAAACAGG
rnacentral:rRNA from 1 species